GACGUAGGGGACGAGCGUUGUCCGGAUUCAUUGGGCGUAAAGCGCGCGUAGGCGGACCUGCAAGUCGGGGGUGAAAGCCCGAGGCUCAACCUCGGAACUGCCUUCGAUACUGCGGGUCUCGAGUCCGGGAGAGGUGAGUGGAAUUCCUAGUGUAGAGGUGAAAUUCGUAGAUAUUAGGAAGAACACCAGUGGCGAAGGCGGCUCACUGGCCCGGUACUGACGCUGAGGUGCGAAAGCGUGGGGAGCAAACAGG
rnacentral:rRNA from 1 species